UUUUCUAUGUUUUUUCUUUUGCUCUAUUGUGGCACGUUUCUUGGUUUCUAAGUUUUAAUUUUAGAGUUCUUUUAUUUUAUUUUAUCGAUCGAGGUUUUUUUUAAAAAAUGAAAAAGUAACAAAUUGUUGGAUUUAACGUUGAAUUCUUAAGGGCUUUGAUCAAUGGAAAACGCAAUGAAGGGUUUGAAUAUCAACAAUGAAGAAGAUGAAGUAUGGCAGAUUCAAGCUAGAGUAAAGGAUGGGAUUAAAAAUCAGGCUCAAGCAAUAGUAGAAAGGAUUAAAGCUCAAUUAAAAAAAUUAGAUGCCUUAAACAAACUGUCACACGCUAUGAGAGUUGAGAUUGUAAGAUGGAGGCCUCCAGAGAAACUUUCAUCAAGGUAAGUUUUGAUGGGGCUUUUCAAGCUCAUUCCCUGAAAUCAUGCUUGGGGAUUGUUAUCAAAAAUCAAAAGGGGUUGUUCUGGGGUCAACAAUAAUUAUUAAUAAUCACAUACCAACAGG